UACGUAGGAGGCGAGCGUUGUCCGGAGUUACUGGGCGUAAAGGGUGCGCAGGCGGCGUCACGCGUGGAUAGUUGAAAUCUCCUGGCUUACCUGGGAGGGUGGUAUCCAGACGGUGGCGCUUGAGGGUCGGAGAGGGGCGUGGAAUUCCGGGUGGAGCGGUGAAAUGCGUAGAGAUCCGGAGGAACACCGACGGCGUAGGCAGCGCCCUGGACGACACC
rnacentral:rRNA from 1 species